CCAAGCCAUUGAUCGGUACGGGUUGUGAGAGCAAGAGCCCGGAGAUGGAACCUGAGACAAGGUUCCAGGCCCUACGGGGUGCAGCAGGCGCGAAACCUCCGCAAUGUGAGAAAUCGCGACGGGGGGAUCCCAAGUGCCAUUCUUAACGGGAUGGCUUUUCAUUAGUGUAAAGAGCUUUUGGAAUAAGGGCUGGGCAAGACCGGUGCCAGCCGCCGCGGUAACACCGGCAGCUCUAGUGGUAGCAGUUUUUAUUGGGCCUAAAGCGUCCGUAGCCGGUUUAAUAAGUCUCUGGUGAAAUCCUGUAGCUUAACUGCGGGAAUUGCUGGAGAUACUAUUAGACUUGAGACCGGGAGAGGUUAGAGGUACUCCCAGGGUAGAGGUGAAAUUCUGUAAUCCUGGGAGGACCGCCUGUUGCGAAGGCGUCUAACUGGAACGGUUCUGACGGUGAGGGACGAAAGUUAGGGGCGCGAACCGGAUUAGAUACCCGGGUAGUCCUAACCGUAAACGAUGCGGACUUGGUGUUGGGGUGGCUUUGAGCUGCUCCAGUGCCGAAGGGAAGCUGUUAAGUCCGCCGCCUGGGAAGUACGGUCGCAAGACUGAAACUUAA
rnacentral:rRNA from 1 species